rnacentral:rRNA from 1 species
CGGCCAGACUCCUACGGGAGGCAGCAGUGGGGAAUAUUGCACAAUGGGGGAAACCCUGAUGCAGCGACGCCGCGUGAGUGAAGAAGUAAUUCGUUAUGUAAAGCUCUAUCAGCAGGGAAGAAAAUGACGGUACCUGAGUAAGAAGCCCCGACUAACUACGUGCCAGCAGCCGCGGUAAUACGUAGGGGGCAAGCGUUAUCCGGAAUUAUUGGGUGUAAAGGGUGCGUAGACGGGACAGCAAGUUAGUUGUGAAAGCCCUCGGCUUAACUGAGGAACUGCAACUAAAACUAUUGUUCUUGAGUGCAGGAGAGGAAAGCGGAAUUCCUAGUGUAGCGGUGAAAUGCGUAGAUAUUAGGAGGAACACCAGUGGCGAAGGCGGCUUUCUGGACUGUAACUGACGUUGAGGCACGAAAGUGUGGGGAGCAAACAGGAUUAGAUACCCUCGUAA